AUUGAACGCUGGCGGCGUGCCUAACACAUGCAAGUCGAUCGGUAACGCGGGGGCAACCCUGGCGACGAGAGGCGGACGGGUGAGCAAUGCUUGGGAAUCUGCCCAUCAGCGGGGGACAACCCGGGGAAACCCGGGCUAAUACCGCAUACGCCCUACGGAGGAAAGCCGGGGACCGCACGGCCUGGCACUGAUUGAUGAGCCCAAGUCGGAUUAGGUAGUGGGCGGGGGAACGGCCCACCAAGGCGACGAUCCGUAGCUGGUCUGAGAGGACGAUCAGCCACACCGGAACUGAGACACGGUCCGGACUCCUACGGGAGGCAGCAGUGGGGAAUAUUGGACAAUGGGGGAAACCCUGAUCCAGCGACGCCGCGUGGGCGAAGAAGGCCUGCGGGUUGUAAAGCCCUUUCGGUAGGGACGAAAGCUUCCGACCUAACACGUCGGGAGGUUGACUUAACCUACAGAAGAAGCACCGGCUAACUCUGUGCCAGCCGCCGCCGUAACAC
rnacentral:rRNA from 1 species